ACGCACGUUACUCCAAUUCCCGAUGCGAAUCGGAGCGCGGAGACCGGUCAAAGGCGCGUCGUCGCGCCCGGGGUCGCCGUCGACCGCUAGGAGCGCGCCGGUCGCGAGCGCGCACCUCGGCCGCGUCUCGACGCUCAGUCUGCCGCAGUCAGCAGCACGGGAAGGUUGUGUCGCUGUCGCGUCGCGUCGCGUGGACCUCUCGCUCUCUCUCGUUCUCUCUCUCUCUCUCUCUCUCGCUCGCCGCUUCCCUCUCUCGCUCUUCCUUCACAGUUUGACCGAGAGAUCGCAAGAUCGCACGAGCUAGAUCCCUCUCGUCUGGAUUCGUUCGGCCGCGUGUAUCAGUGCUCGCGAGCGAGAGAUCGCCCUCGUGGGAACGCAUUCCUACACGGCGUACUGUAUCCUGUUUCGCGCGCGUUGCUCUAUACGUCAUUGUCACGCGCGCGCUCGCUCGCUCGUGACACGGGGAUCCUGCGGCGUGCACGUCCCGCGCGCGCGCGCGCGCGUUUCUCCCGCUCGUCCGUGGUGCGACCUUCUGCGAGCGUUGUCCUUCGAUUGUGUCGCGACGAGACGCGCGCUCGGCCAUCGCAACUUGUGUGUGUGUGCUUCUUUUCUCAGUGCGCGGGAUAAUGUGACGCCGUGCGCCACGUUUUCGAACGACGCGGGCCGGGACGCGCGCUCCUUUCGAGGAGUCCGAGAGUUCGGUUAGUGUCGAGGUUGUGGCGAGGCUGAGGAUCCCUCUCUCUCUCUCUCUCUCUCUCUUUCUCUCUAUCUCUCUCGUAGUACAUACGGCGCGGUGGUAUCGCGCGGCCGUGCGUGCGGCGUCCUUUGUGGUCAGCGCGGGGAGAUAAGGGGGCCUCUCGACGGGAGUAUAAAGCGUAGAGGAGAGGGGAAGCGGAAGGUGUCGGAGAGGACGGCGUGAAGUCGUCGCCGCCGCUUCGAUUAACGGAUACGAGCACGGGGGCCUGCCAGCGGGACGGCGACGGGAAGGAUGUUCUUGUGUGGAAGCUCGUACUUUCUGGCAUCUGUCCCGAAACCUCGAAUCGCGCGGGAAAGAACGGAACGUGAGACGAUAGGUGUCUAAGAUCCGGGACCACCACUGAAUGAAGAAAACCGGGAACAGCACGUCGCGAUAUGUCGCAUUGGGUUAGUUUUAUGACAUGACGCUACAGUGGUCGAGUUACGAUCCAAAUAACAAAAAAAAUGUCUUUGUUGCAUUUAUUGCAAAAAUACUCAAUUGCGACAAAUGUUAAAUGUUUUGAAUACAUUGACAUUAUGUACAAUAACUUUGUAGUGACAUUAAUUGAUUCAUAAUCUCUUCAAAUUAGAUAAUAUUUUGUUUUGUAUAGUUUAUAUAUUUAGUGUUUAGAUAAUAUUUUAGUAAUUUGUAAAGUUUUCAGUUAAUUAUUAAAAAUUUCUAUUCCAACUUCAUGUUUAAAACAUGUUUAACAAGAAUUGUCGUGCAAAGUAGUAAUAUGCUAGAGCAAAACGUUUUUAUUUAUUCAAAUUUGUGUAUGCGACAUAAAUUAAAAUUCAAAAACCUAAAGUACUUUCAAAUUUAAGAAAAAUGAAUUGAUUAUAUUUGUUUUUCGAACUUUGGUCAGCUUCUUUCAAAAUUUUGAUUACUGUGAGACAUUUCCAGUGAUGUGAGGAACAUUAUCGAAAAUUUAUUACUGCACAUAAAACAAUAAUACUACUACAUAUUAUAAAAUGUUGCAUAAAAAAUGAAUAAAAGCAGGCUCCUAUAAUAAAUAUAGUUCACUUCAUAAAUGCAGUUCACUUCAUUCGAAGUCACGUCUCAUAAAAUUUUCAUACACAAUUGACUCGAGUGGUAGGCAUCAAUAGUCGCAUUUGGUUCAUUUUUAUAACGUCACAUUCGUCGCACCGUUUUUCGCUUCGUCCUUCCCGGUGCUUUUUAUUUUGCAUCUCCGCCGUUGAAACGACUUUUGCGAUUUAAUGAUAGCAGAAUGCGCGAGCACAUUGGACGCGUGUUAAUGUAACGACAACAAAUAUUUCAGAUGCGUUUAAUGUUGGAUGAGAAUACGAUCGUCCGAUAUGUGAAUAUCAAACGAUCGCGUCUGCGUAUAAUUAUGCCGGUGUAUCUAAAUUAUGUAGUUCGAAUCUUGAACAUUUUGCUCGAUUGGGAAUAUCACAAUUGUACCAUCAAAUAUAUUAUGCGUGGUGCAUUUCGAUAUAGCAGCUGUAUCAUUGAAUAACAAUGGCGUUGAUACUCGUAUAUGGUGGAUAUGGUCUCGUAUGAUUUUACGAGAAACGAAAUAGAUUACAGAUUAGAGAACAGAAAUAAUCUUGAUCUUUUAAAUAUAACGUCAACAUUUGACACUGGCAUGCAUCUUUCAGCGUUCGCCGUCUGCACAAUCUUCGGUUAACCAAAAAGUUAAUUAUAAUUUAAAAAUUCACGGUAUAAAAGCUUUAUCGGUCAUAGCUAGAUCUUAGUGUUGAUAUUUAUUGCAUGAUUUAUUGUGGAAUACACCUUUUCAAGUUCAUGAAACUCAGUUCUAAGUUGAAGUUCUCUAUUUAAUAUGAUUAAAAAUCUAUCUUUACAAUACAGUGUGAAACCUUAUUCCUACAAACCUGGGUAUAUCAAGUGCGACUUUUCCGCCUAUUUUUAGUGUGAAUCAAGAAAUCUUUAAAAAUUUCUGAACAUACUUUCAAUUUUUUUAGAACAUAUGUCUGUGCUUCGUUUUAGAAAAAAUGUAGUAUAAUUUAAUUGUUUUUGGAAAUUUCGAAAAACUAUCAUGGAUAUUAUAUAUAUAAGAAAUAGAUCGGACACGAAAUAUCCAUGUUUGUUGAGUAAAGUUUAAAUAAUAUUACGUAUUCUUUUAUAAGCUAUGGCUUAAUAAACUGAAGUUUGCACAUAAAAAAAAUAUCCAUUCUAUUACUAAGAAAAGCGUUUACUCAAUUUACUUUUUUUCUUCUGGUAUCUUUAACAAUGAAUAUUUUCUUAAUAAUUAUCUUCUCUAAAAUAUACUUAUUAUAAGUAACUUAUGAAAUAUUUGAAUUAAGUAAAAUUCAAUUCAAAUAUAUAUAUAUUUUCCAGUGUUUACACAGAAGUUUAAGUAAACUACGUGUUUCAAGUAUAUGAUAAAUGUAUUUCAGAUUAAGUUAAGAAAACAUUUUUUGUAAAGAUAAUCAUCACUUGAAAGAAGAAAACUAAAAGUUUAGUAAUCGUUUUUCUUAGCAGGAGAAAUGACAUUUUUCUGCCUGUAUGUGUAUAUAACACAUAAUUUCUACUUUAAUUAAUUUAAUUGUAAACUUAAAAGAGAGCAUAAUUAAUUAACUUUUUGAUUAAAUUAAUUAUAAAUUGAAAGUUAAUUAAUUACCAUAUUGUGAAGAUGAGCUUUAGAGCCAUAGCAUAAACGUAGUUGAAGUAGUUGUAAAGUAUUGCAAAGUGCAGUGUUACAUGUCCAUUUCUAUCAAUAUAAAUUAACUUUACUUUAGGUUUUUCAUAUACUUAUAUUCUUUUUCACUAAUGUAAAUUAUCUUUGAUCGCAGUUUAAUUUACUCUUUAUCCUUUUCCAAUUCUUAAAACUAGAAAAAGAUAAAAAGUUUAAGUUAAUCUGCAUUGGUGGAAAUGGACAUUAGAAUUAGAAAACGAUAAAAAGGAAAUAAAACCAAGGUAAAAGCUAAUCUACAUUGAUAGAAAUGGACAUACAAUUGCCCCUUACACAGCUAUAGUAAGAAUAGACCGAGUGAGUUUAACAUCUCAGAUAGUAAAGAGCAGGUAGGAAAAAAAAACAGAUAGUGGUGUAUCUCUCUUUCUCUUUCUGAUUCAAGCAAUUGUUUCUUCUCCCUUUUCCUGUUAACGGCUUAGUCUUAUGUCUCUUUCUACAUAAUCUUUAGAUGUAGCACUUUACUCUCGGUUUAUUUUUUCUGUGGUGCCUUACAAUCAUUUGGGUCAUGGCUCACAAAAAAUUGAAGUGGUACCGAGACGUAAACAGUUAAGAAAUCAACAGUUUGGAUUUGUUACUGCCUACGUUGUGCCCUAAGUUUUUUUAUUGUGAUUGAUCGACUAUACACCAGAAUUGCCAGGAAUUUAGAGAUUUUUCUCCCAAUUUGGAUUUUGUUAUUAUUACGGGCAAGUAUAUGAAACGAGAUAAAAAUAAUAUAGAUCUUUAUUUUCCCCUCUUAAAAAUUCCCCUAAAUUUUUAACUUCACAAAAAAAUCUCCUGUGAUAAUAGAAUCUAACCCUUGAAGAAAAGAAUUGAUAAAGUCAAUAUUUUGUACUCAGGCUUCUAAAUAUAAAAACAAUAUAUAAUAUCAAUAAUAACAAUAUAUAAUACAAUAUCAUUUAUUGAUACAAAAACUUAUUUCAAACACACGUUUCGACUUUCGCAUCGAGUCAUCUUCAGUGUCACAUCUAUAGUUAAAAUUUUAAAAAAUAAUCGCAUCUAGUUAACAGUCUACCUGAAUUAAAUAAUAGAAUUUUUCCGUUGAGAGGUGAUUGUAUAUUGAAUAAUGUUUUCGACUCACAGUAAUUCUAUCUUUUUAAUUGAUAAAAUGGUUCAAUAAACUACUUAUUAUAUUAGUAACUGAUGACUUAUCAUCAGUUCUAUUUUGAUACAGUAAUAUUUUGAUAUAGGAAAAUAAAGAUCUAUAUUAGUUUAUUGAAAUACUUUUUCUUGAGGGAAAUUUGAGAAAAAAUUCCCCUGACUCCGCUGGAGACUCUGAAACUUCUCUUUUCUGCGAUCAAUCGACACGCUUGAAAAACUUAUCGCACGACAAAUGUAAUACCAGUCUUAAAGUCUGAAAGAUUGCCGUAAUAGUCGUAGUCGAAGGUUCUAAGUCAACACAAAGAUCGACAUAAAUACGCAUGUAUGUCGAUAUUUAUGCGUUGACUUACAACUUCCACUAUUACGUCUUUCUGUUCAAAUCCUUCGGUACUAUUACAGUUUGUACGAUAAAUAUUUCAACUGUGAUUGGCUGUAGGAAGGUUUUCUAGAGACUCGAGAACUUCUCUAUUCUGCAGUCAAUCAACACACUUAAAAACUUUGUCGACAAAUCGUACGACAAGUGUAAUGCUAGCAGGUCUUAAACGUUAUCAAACUUUUAUGAAUGUUUACGUUUGCAGAACACUCAUUCAAUUAUGAAAUCGCUCUGAGAAAUAAAAAGCGACACCGAUACUUUUAUACUUUUGUUUGAAUAUAUAAUGCGCGAUGAGAAUAAGUUCGGAACGUAAUCCGCCAUGCAAUCAUCAAUAAAUUAGUUUAUCGUCAUUAAAGAGUUUUCAUACGAUUGUAAUUACACUGUUUAUUAUUGACUUUAAAAUGAUAAUAUAAGUGCGACUAUUUUGGGAGGUAAAAAUUUGAAAAUCCAUAGACAUAUUAUAUUAUAGAAAAUACGAUCUUUCCCUCUCGAAAAACACACGGCGUAAAGAGAAAUUUCAGCCGCUCUUCGCGCUUUCGUUUUAUUUGAAACGAACGUGCGAAAAAUAACACGCUUCGAAAAGUUAUUAGAACUCGCGAUACUUAAUAUAAAAAGAUGGGAUCGGUAAAAUAAAUUUUCCUCGCGUAAAAAAGGCAAAACGCGCUCUCUUUCAAUGUUUACUCUACAUAUAUCAAUCUUCCGCAAGUCACUGUUGUUCGGAGCAACAGUUUCGAAGGGAGAUAUCAAUUCUUUUGCAGAAGCGAUCAAUCUAUUGCAGCCGGCAUGAAAUAAGAUAUCAAACUCUUCGAGAGAUCAGAUAGGAAUCCGUCUCGAUGUUUUAUUAUCUAUUUAUAUCGUGCGCGUUUGCUUUUUUGGAGAUGUAUAAAUUUUUAUUUGAAAUACUGUAAUUUUUCUUUCUACCUGGCUUUUUUUUUUAUUUUUCGGAUAUCGUUACGUUACUACGAUUAUAAAAUACGUAUAAUUGGCGAGAAGUUUACCGCGCGUUUUGUAAAUAAAUGUCGUUAUUGCUCGCCGAGAUGACAGGAGCUGCGAGCCAGUUUGCCAACAUAAUUGGUGCGCGUUUGUCGAUUCCGAGUGUGCGUUAUUAUCAAGUUCGAGGGAACUUUCGCCCGGGGACGAGAGAUCCGCUUUGCAAUAUUAUAAACGCAGUUAUUUGUACGAGCCCUUCCUUCCUUUCAUUGAAAGUCGAGACAACCUAACCGUUCUAUUAAAAUGACAAUUGAGCCGCUGAGUAGCGAGCAAGGGUCGACAAUUUCGUAGAGCAUUUAAUUAUGAGAUCUCAUCUUGCAAUUUAGAAGAUCCGCGCAGCGCGAGAAGAAAAGUCAAUUUCUUCGGCAAAAGCGCUUUCGUUUGUUGAAGUACGUCAAAAAUGUCUAGCGAAUGGUACGUCACUGAAGCGAGAGUAGAUAUACUGAUUAAAUGUGUACACCAAUCUCGAAAUAAAUUUCGUGAUUAGACGACAUUCUUGUAGUAAUGCUCUAGUGACACGUGACAUUGAGUUACAAGCGAUAACUGUUUAAAUUAAAAUGUAAAAUGUAAAAAAUAUGUUGAAAUUUGACAAAAAGUUAGCGAAUAUUAUCUUAAUAAACAUUAAAUAUAAUUUUGGUCACAAUUAUAAGGCACCUUACAUUUUUUUAAUACUUUUAACUGGAAGGACAUAAGCAGAAAUUCAAAUGUGAAUUAUCCUUUAUUUCAAGGACCUUUUAAACUUAUGUAUAAUGCCAGUAAUUAAUUUGAAAUAAUACAGAUAAAAAGUUUCAGAUAAAUUAAAAGUGUCUUGUAAUUUUGGCCAAGGCUGUAUGUCUCAUAAAACAAUGAGCUUUUAACCUUGUAUACUACAAGAAAAACUUGAAAUUAUGUAUAGAAAUCCUAAUAAAUAACGGAUACUCGUUAUAUUCAAGGAAAUUAAUCAAAUGUUAAACAAAUGAAUUAACACUAACACUUAUACAAGAGAUAAUAAUUAAAAAGGUGAUAAUUAUAAUAAUAAUUCUAAACAAAGAAGAGUAUGAGUCAUUUCGUAAUGCCUUACAUUAAAAGUACUACUGAUGAAACAGUAAAAAAACUUGAAUUGUAUUACUGUAGAAUUGUAUUACUGUAGAAUAUCGCGGAUAUAAUAACUUGAUUGUACGUGUAUACAAAGUCAAUUUCGUCAGCAAAGCGCCUUUGUUUGUCGAAAUACAUUCAAAUAACUAACAAAGUACGUCACUAAAGCGAGAUAGAUAGAUACUGAUUAAAUGUCUACACCAAUUUCUUCGAAAUAAGCUUUGUGAUUAGACGGCAUUCUCGUAGUAACGCUCUAAUGAUAUUGAGUUACAAGCGAUAACUUUUUAAAUUAUAAAAUGUGAAAAAAUAAAAAUGUUGAAAAAAAUUGGACAAAAAAGUUAGCGGAUAUUAUUUUAAUGGACAUUAAACACGUCUCAUCAAACAAUGACCGCCGCGUGUCCUGAUAGAUUUUGAAACCUCAGCACAAUGAUGAUGAUUUAUUCCUCGGGCGGCAUUGAACGAACGGAUCUGAAACGCUCAUUUCCGUUUCAAUAACGCUUCAACGGAUGUAUGCCAUUUCAGUGCCUGAAAAUUUGAAAUUGCAGUGAUAUUUUUAUAUGGAACGAUCGUAUCCUGAGCGGAAAUAUAUGAGGCUUUUUUGUUUAUCGAUUUCACGUGGCUAGGAAAAGCUAUGCUAUAUUAACAAGACUAUACUCAGUUCGAUAUUUACAUUGUGUUUUUUUUUUCACAGUUAAACGCUUUUUUUCAGAAUUGAAUGCGGUUAACUAAACAUACUCCUCUUGUUUUCGAGAACAUAUAUUUUUGCGUGCGAUCGAAGACAGCGGCAUAUAACAAACGAGUCGAAACUGAUUCUUUUAUACGUAUUCUUCACGUUUAUGAUAAUAUUCAAUGAAAAAUAUAUCGCGUGCUCGAUAUGUCCGUUAUUGUCUACCUGCCACAUCAUGGUAUUCAUUGAGUUAUUUUGAUAUGUAACACGUUUAUAUUGUAUUGUAUGAAACAUAAUAGAGCGGGCAUCGACCUAUUUAGUUACCUAUAGAUAGAUAUUGGCACAUUCGAUCCAUGGUUAGUCGUUUGGCCCAUAAAUCGACUACGUCACUGAACUCUUGAGCCCUCUCGCCGCAUUCCUCUGCUCCCAACCGUUGCGACGGCGCCAGGAGACGCUCUCUGAUAAAAGUUACUCAUACCGUGUAUGAAUCAUGCGAGGUAUCGAGUCCACUACUCUCGUUGCCCUACCUCGAGAGACCUACCUGCGUGUUCUGCAAUCGUACGUGUCAUCGACCAUAACAGGCCUCCCGUAGCGAUACCGCGCCUAUGUCGCGCCAUUCCAAAAAAGUGUGUUAGGUGGAAAAUAACCCAAGGUUUAGAUAUGACCUGAGUUUAAAUAUGACUAUGUAACGUGCCAUUGGUCACGGCGAUAUUUAGAAGUUUCUGUCGAAACCGUAACGGAAUAUCGGACGGACAAUACGGUAGCAAAAAGGGAAAUUGUGUUUCGCAAAAGGAAUAGAAUAUCUACAACCGAGAAGGAAAAAGAAGCGCGCAAGCUAGAAAUAGACGCAGCAUAAAAUAGGACAAUAAUUUAUGUCCAAAGUUGGAAUUCUCGAGAAUAAAAAGGAGAUUGACUAAAUUUUUGUUAUAUUUACACUGUGUAAAAGAAACGAUAGGAACAAUAAUCAAUAUGCACGAAUAGAUUAUUAUUUUCUGUUCUACUUAAUGGACUUCAAAUUCAAAUUUAACAUAGAUACACGUUAAAGAUAGCUAGAUACCUGCUUUUAGCACGAAACAUGGUCUCCCUUUUAGAUAAUAGCCUGGUUACUCCAACUAUAUAACACAGGCCAAAGGGAUAUUGUUAGAUAAUGCGUUUAACUUGUUAUAUGUAAGUAACAAAAUUAUUUUCCUCGUACUUUUUCCUUGUACUUUACUAUUAGGGUUUAAACUGUAAAAUGGCGUUGACUUUGAAAACGUAUUGUUUCAGAUUUAUCGCGUAGAGAAUACAUAUGUUAAAACUGAUGAGAUAGUCAUUGUGCACACAUACUAUAUGAUGAGAUAAUUACGUAUCAACUGUACACACUUAAAAAAUUUGUAUUAAAUUUAACAUAUGUAUCGUAUGUUCUCUAAACGGUUCACUUCCAAUUUUUGUGUUAAUUUAACACAAGAUAAUUAAGUUUAAAGGCGAAUAGUAUGUAAAAAAUUAACAUAAAAGAAUGUAACACUUUGACACAAUUUGGAAAUAAAGUGUAGAAACAUAUUCUUUCAGUAAAAUUAACAUUCAUAAUACGUUGAUACGUAUGUACAUUUUAUUCAUUUAUUUUAAAAUUUAUGUAUUAAAACUAUAUUAUUUUUACGUUUAUUGUUUUUUUAUUCAAAAAUUAUUCCAAUAUUGAGAAAUAUUGAAUAUAAAUUUAACACAAAAUAUUCAAAUAACAAUAUAAUCACAUUAUGUUAAAUUAACGCUUGAAAUGUUAAAAAUUCAGCACAAGUUUUAACAAAGACCAGUUUUAACAUAAAUACAAAAUGUUUUCUACUGUGUAUACCUAUUUACUUUCACUUUGGUAUGCGCGUAUUUAAUGUUUAACGCGUCCUUGAUGCUUAAUCCUUUGAUAUUUCGCUCACAAUUCUGAUCAUAAUCAUUGCGUCACGUUGCUUCACAUGGCGCCAUUUUGCAUUAAAAUAGUAUCGUCCUUCCGAGAAGGAUCUGACUCAUGGCGCGCAUUGAAAAGUCGUUCAUGAUACCGAGAAUGCUCACUCGCGAUUUACACAAUUUCACUGAAUUGUGCGGCUGCGCGGCUGUGUGCUGCGGCACACAUUAUUGCCCAGCGGUGAAACGUUUCUUCGACGUCAGCGGGUUCCUGUCGCUCAUUGUGACGUUAUCUCCGACGGGAUCGGAGACGGUGGUUUACGUUUAUACUGAUGCCGACUAAGACGACGACGAUGACAUUCCUUGUUGGAAAAUGCAACGCGCAGAAAUAGAAACGUCAGGCGGGCGCCGAACAUUUUCGCGGAAAUCCGGAACCCGUCGCUUUUUCCUCGAGUAUCGAGCGUGCUAAAAUCGGCCCAAUUAGCGCGCCGUUCUUCCUUAGUAAAGCUCAAAUGUGUGCCAAGAUUACGGUUUAACCAGAGUUCUCGUCGAUGGCACAGAACAGUAAACCUAUAAUUAUGCACUAAUAAUACUUUGAUAUUCAUUUCCAACAAAUUAUUAAACAGUUAUGUAUUAAAAAUAAACAUUUAAGAGGUUUAUAACAAGCUAAAAGUUUGAUGAAUAAACAAAUUAAUACAUUUGUAAAUUUAAAAUACAAAUAUCGUGAACGUCUCGAUUUUACUAAUUGUAAAUUUUCCUCAGCACAAAAAUCGUUAAAAAUAACAUAAAACGUCAAGAAAUAAAAAUAGUAAAUAAAUCAACUCUUUACUCGUCAUCGACCUCUUAUAUGCUUAUUUUUUGCAUAAAUAAGAUCGAACUUGGAUGUGUAAAUACUUUUAAAUUACAUAUUAAAACAUAGUAAUAAGAGAACUUGGACCGACAUGUAAAAAUAUAAUCAAUUAAGUAGCCCCAACGGUCACAGCUAGAUUUUAGUGAUCUUUCUUAUGUGAUUUUAUAUGCAUUUUCACGUUCAUGAAAGAGCGCUGAAUAAAUUUUCGCCAUCCGUCUCGGAAAGUCCGUGGAAGGUUCAAGCCUUGACUGAGGUGUUACUUUUCGUAACAAAUUCUUUUCAGUUUUUUUAGGGGAAAGUCCUUAUUGCCACAUUAGAUGCUUGUUAGCAUCGUUUUUUAUUAUCAAAUUGACUUUCAAUUUAAUUCUUAAACGGAUACGUGAUUUUUUAUGACGUAAAUGGUCGCGUAGGAGUCAGUUUGACUCAGACUUUAAUUUAUUUAUAUUUUAUGCAGAAACAAUUUUCUUAAAAAUCUAUAUUUUUAAAAUUAAAAUAUUUCUUUACAUAGUAUUUUGACAAAUAAGUUUAUAGCUUUCAAGUUAAUAAAUACAGGCACUACAAAUAAUUAUAUAAAAUUGAAUUAUUAUUACACUUAGUCUUUACUCAAGUUAAAGUAUAAACAUACAAAAAAAAUUAGUAUUAGUAGUAUUACUUAAAUAAUGUGAUUAUUUAAAGCCAGUCAUAAUUCGGAAAGAGACGUAAGAGUAUAUUUUAUUAAUACGCGUUUGUCUCUUGGUACAUUAAUUUUUUAAAUCAUUAUUACAAAAAUAUCUGAAAAUAUUAAUAAACAUUUUUAUUGUUAAAAAAUAAUUGAAUAUAACAAUUGUUGAAAAUAAAAAUUAUUAAUGUACAAAACAAAAUAUGUUUAUAUCGAAAAAAAUAAAUGUAAAGUAAAAAUAAACUAAAAAAAAUCUGAAAACUAAAAAUAAACUUUCAAGCAGUAAUGCACCGAAUUGCACAGAAAGUUACGCACGCGGUCGUCUGGGAGUCAAAUUGACACAGGGGAUAAGAGAACUGUUUGUAUCUAAAAUAUUCGUGCAUUAUUGAUGCUACUCGACUGAAGUUAAAACUAAGGUGUAGAAAGAAGAUACUGAGAGCGGUAAAGUCACAAACAAGAGCGAAGCGAAGAAACAUUCAUUUAUUCGUGCCUCUGUAUCAGUUCAAUCCCCAAGUGUCCGUUUAAGAAUUAAUAACAUGAUAUUGUUAUCUUUUGUUUAACUUAGAACUGUAUUUUAAGACCGAAAAUUUAUUUAGCGCACAGUUUCAUGAACUUGAAAAUGUUUAUAACAUCACGAGAAAUACUAUCGCUAAAAUAUAACCGGAUUGUUAAAGCUUGUCGAUUGUUUAUAAUUAUGUAAUAUUAUUUAUAUGUGUUAUUAAACAAAUUAUAUCAAUACAUAAUAUUGCAUUAAUAAUUUGCAAGUAACGUUUGUAGAAAUUUCAAGUGAAUGUUUACUAAACAGAAAUUUCUACAAUAUUUGUGUAAAACUCAUUUAAAAUAACAUUUUAUUUUACAUGAUGCAGUUAAUAGUCAGUUAGCAAAAUGAAUAAGAAAUAUACGGAAAGUACUCCCCUUCGUAUUGUGUUUUUAGACAAGCUUUACGGGGUUCGCCGAGACUAUUUACGGUGCGAGUCAGCGCGAGUUUAGCACAAUUCAGCGUAAUUUAAAAGUAACGUUUUUAAAAAGUGCUGUGUUGGCCAUGAGAACAUUUUAUCUUUUAAAGAAUGGCGAUGGUUAGGCACGUAAUGUCUAGGAUAGAAAUGGACGUAAGUUUAAGAUCAGCAGAAAAAAUGCGUAAAUUGUUUUCGGUUUUAUAAGUUGCUCGAAAAUAAUUCUAAUUUUAUGUUAUUCUAUGCUAAAUAUUUAAUGAAAUGGAAGCUUUUCGCAGAAAUGUACAACAUUUUAAUUCAUCUCCGUAAUGGAUAAAAUUAUAGCAAAUUGUCGCAAAGUGAUUAUAUUGGUUCAGAUAUUAAAAGCAAAUGAUUUGCUUUGAAAUCAAAGGAUCUAGUUUGUCUUGAUACUUAAUAAAAUAUAUCUGUGUAGGGCAUAGAUUGAUCCGACUAUGUUAAUGGUAGAUAAAACAAGAACAGUUUUGUGCCAUAAAUAGCUACGUGUAACGUUGACAGACAGCGCUACAUUAUGUACAUUCCAUAAAGGGCACUUACCUUGAUUAAGUCUCUAGGCUUAUUAUGCACCGCCGGUAUAAACGCAGAUGGGAGAGAUGCAUCGGAUAUUGCCGUAACCGAGCGGACAUGAAAGGGUCACGUGAAACGUUUUAGUGAUAUUUUCCGACCGCGAGAUCGAUCCUUUUCAAAAUAUUAAUUACUUCAACGCGUACACAUAUCUCUAUUCGUGCAAUUUUACGGGCUUCUUCCUGGCAAUAUACGCGAAAUGUACGUUCGAUUCGAACGUACGCAGCUUGUUUGCUGCCCUCGCGGUACACACAUUACAUCGUAUACGUGCGUGUUUUCACUUCUGUUGGCGGGAAAGUGCACACUGUAAUCUGAUUUAAAGUCCACUUCGAGUGUGGCACCGUUGACUGUGGCCUUAGGAUAUAGAAGCGGCACGCAAUGGAGAUCUACGUGACCGAUAAUGGCCGGGGCACGCGGGGACUUUUUUUCCUCACCCUCUCUUUUCCUCUCUACGUAAGGGAUGUUUUAUUUCGUGCAUAAUGCUCUUUAUACAUUCGGAUCAUUAGGUGACGUUGCUUCGAGGACUUAUCGAGCGUCAUAACGAAGAGCGGCCGACCGUCGCAGUCGUCAAUCAAAGCGAUAAGGUGUUUUAGCCGGUGCUUAUUUUAACUUCCUUGAAUUUAUCCCCGUGCAACUUUUCCGUCCCGCCGUUCUCUACAGCUUUAUUUACCUUUUUCCGUCGCGUAAAAGAAAUCUUGUGCAUUUGCAAAGUCGGAGACAGUCGAGGCAAAACAGUCUCGGGCUUUCAAAUCCGUAAGCGGUAUAUGGACAAUACCGUCUCUUUAUAUUUUCCUCUUGUUAUUCCUCUGUACGUAUCAAAUGUAAAAAAAAAAGAGGGAACCCUGCUCCUCCAUUAUUUGGUUCAUUUGCUCAGUUUGUUUGCUUUCCUACUGUCUUUCUCUUCCUGUCUUUUCACUCGCGUAUGAGGCGAGUCGUUUGGACUGAAUGGACCGCGAAAGGAGCAGAUUGAGUUGAAGCUUUCUAAAUCCUCAUCGAUCGUUCGUAAUGGACGAGACGACAUAGCGGAAUGACUAUGAAUUUUUAAUACGAUCACGUUGAAAUCAUUAUGCCUUGUCAGCGCGAUUUACAAUCCCCGUCGUGUGCGCGUAAUGUAAGACUUAUGAGACCUUAUCGUGCUUCGAAUAAUAAUUCUUCUUAUGUAUAGAGAGCUACUUCAAAUUCCUCGGACGUCGUCAAAUAAGGGCGACGAGCUGCUGAACGCCGUAGGAAAAACAUCGCGCCGGAAGUUAAUUCGAUUCUUACUUCUCCUUGUAUUUGCAGCUUUAACAACAAUAUGAAAUCUAACAAAACAUUUGAAGACACUGCGGCACGUCUUAAAUCUGUGAUUCGAUGUUUAGCAAAUUCUCUUAACGCGCGCUUUCAUCUUAAUGCUUAUAGAGAAAAAAACACUUUUGUGUUUUCCUUCUGCAUUAUGUCAAAUUUUUGAAGAUUCGGUGUUUUGAUAAGUUUAAAGUCGGAAAAUGCGUAAUAACAUUUUUGCAAUCUUGAAUCUUCAAUCUUAGAUAGAAUUUGGUUUUACAGAUUUAUUUUUGAAAGCGUUAUGAACUUUUACAAAAACCUGAACUUCUUGUAUUUUCGCGGACUAUUGGUUUUUAUUACAUUUAAUCGCCAGAGAAUUUUUAGAAAUGUAUGAGUUUUUUUUUCUUUUCUUUUUUUUUUGAAGAAUUAGAACUUUAUCAAUUAUAUUAAAAUUCUAAAAAUAAAAUUUUUCAAAGAAAUGCUGUUUACUUAACUUUUUGAUUCUCAAGCAGAAAUAGUCGUUCUCACAAAUGAAUAAUACAAAAAUAAUAAUAAUAUUUUAUUAUUAUUAUUAUAGUUUAAAAUUUUUUUUGUUGCUUCAAAUAAAAAUAAAUUUUUUUAUAACAUAAAUUGUAUUAUAUUUACGCAUUGGUAUGUUUAUAUACAAUAUUUUAAUAUAAUUUUUAAUAUAAACAAACUAUUACGGAAAAUUUUUUGGGGUUAGCCGCUCGCCUCAUUGGAGAAAUGAGCAUGACAAUUGAAAGGUUAAAUUACACGAAUUUCCUGCAUAACAUUUUAUCAAUUCAUUCAAUGUUAAGAAUGUAAAAGUUGUCAGUGAAAUUCAAUUUGGAAAAAUUAACUAAAGCUGAAUUGAGCCUAUUAGAUACCAUUUUGUACAAGUUGGCUCGCACUUGUUCAACAUUUUUUUUUGUGUUUACAAUUCAAUAGUCCUUUUGCGAACAAUGUAUCAUCAUUCUGAAGUUUUACAGGUUGUUCAUGGGGGGAAAAACGUGUUUGAAAUAUUGGACCGCUCUAUCGUGGCGGGAUAACAAGGGUUUCUAGCGGCCACGCGACAAAGCUGGUAAUUGUUGUUGGAUUUAGUAUAGCCAUGAUCUCCCCGAAUGUGCGCGUUUAUCACGGUGCACUUCGGCUCCCACGCCCCUCCGUUGUGUCGCAAUAAAAACAUUUAAGAAUAUACCCGCGGAAGAUAACGCAUUAAAAAAAAUUAUUUUUUUUCCAUGUACGGAUAUUACAGCGAGAUUAUGUUAUGUAUAAUUAAUGGGUGUCUCGAGUCUCACGCUAUUACCGUAAUUACUUCGAUUAUCAUAAUCGUUAUUGCGAUUAUAUACUGCUACCGCGUGUUAUUACAUAAAUACACUGAGGAAAUUAACGUUUUUAAUCAUGCCGCGGUGUUGCUAUAUCAGUUUAAUGAAAUUUUUGCUCACCCAUGAAUAGUAUAUGUGAGUAAAUACAAUUUAAUUCUCUCAUCCGCUGAAUCACUUUUACGUCCCGCUGAAACGUUUGCGAAAGUUUGUAAUUAUUUUUUAUCUCGCCUUACACACAUACACACGUACGCCAAUUGCAUGUGAUUAUAUCGAAAGGGAUAAAAGGUUUCAAGAUAUCAUAACUUUCAUUAAUGUCAACAAUGGGUCGUAUGCACAAAGUGCUCUUUAUAUUAUGCAACACGUUAAGUACAUUUUAAACGCGAUAGUAUAUCACGUUUAAUGCUUCUUACGUAUCUUCAAACAGAUAUUACGUGAUGCAUCGAACGCUCUAGUUCCAAGGAAAUUGCUAAAGACGGCCUUCAGCUGUUCGUAAACUCUCCAAGUGCAAAUGUGAGACUGUUAACACAUCGUUAUUGCAUACGUUCAUUAAGUAAUGUUAUUUUACGAUGCGUACCGCGAUGGGUAAACGUGGAUCCUGACCAAGCAAACGGGAGCGAACGAAUACUCACCACCGAAGCAAGUUGUUCACUCGUAUUCGUUCGCGUUUGUUCGCUUAGCUUGGAUCCAGCUUAACGGUGGCAGCUACAUUUUACAUUGGACGUAAUCACUCGCCCAAGAGAAAAAAAUGUUUUGUAAUAUUUCUUGAAAACAUAAAAACACUGCAAAAUUUUCUCUAAAAAGAAACUAUUCAGUCUCAACACAGACGUCACAUUUAAUAAAAAUGUACAUUUGUAUAAUUAAAAAUUUCGAAUAUACUAUAGAUCACAUUUUUCUAUAAAAUCUAUUUCCAGGACUACAAAUGAAAUAACAAAAACAUCGUGUUUUUAAUAGUUUUGUUCAAUAUGGUAGUUAAAAUAUGAACAAGCGCCAUUUUGUAUUGUGAUAUUUGUAAUUAGAAGGCAAAAAUAUAUAAGAAAUGGAUAGUUACUUUUUUUUUUCAAGUGUGUAGUUAUCCGACGGUUUUUCAAUUCAGUAUAAUUUCAUCUUCGUUGGUUUAUUUUAAUAAAGUUUAAAAAAAAUUCAGUUUCUAGUUAUUUUAUUUUCUUUAUUUUAAAUCUAACUCUACAAUUCAAAAAUCACACGCACUUGGACAUUUUAAUAAUAUAGAGAUUUUAUUCUUUAUUUGAUAAUAGAGAAUUUAUUCAAAGAGGGCUUCGAACAAAAAAAAAAAAUUCUAGAAAGGGGGUGAUCCAAAAAAAGAUUGAGAAACUGUUGUAGACUAAUCGGACUAACGCGCCUGGAAGCACGAUAUUGUGUCGCUCGCAAAAUAAACAGGAUUUCCUUACGCAUAUCAAUGUAGGUACCAGGAGUCCGUAAAGUUGCAGUUAACAAAUCCGUUGCUUAUUUAUACGGUAUGCCAUCGUAUUCUUAGUGCGCUUCGUGAGAGGUGAAGAUUGAUAUAAACGAACAGGUCCAAGUGUUUAGUUAAGUCACGUACUUUUUAUAGUGUCACAAAUUUUAAUACCGAUGAUAUGCGCGUGUUAUUUUUAUAAAAGUUGUUUCGAAGCAUUUGGCUCUUUUUCUUCUUUUUUUUUUUUUCAUUUUUAUCUACGCUUUUUACGUGUAUUAACGUCAUACGUUUUUAACAUUAUCAGCAUUAUUACACUGCGUUUAACCUAUGUAAAAAAGAAAAUUUAUUAUCUAAUGGGUAUUUUUAUAUUGUGCUGAUUUUCUCCCAGGCAUCGUAUGACAAUUAGUGAUAUAUUCCUUUGUGUCCUUGUAACGUGACACUUUUCCACGGCGGCUACUGAUCUUAUGCAACAUCCAGUUCUCUAAUAAACAACAAGAUUUAAUUCCAGUCACCUUGUAAACGUAGGGAAUUAGAUACAAGCAUGCCAUUCUCGGCAAUGAAUAUUUUUUAAUUCAGAAUCUUUUCUAGACUUGUAAUUAUAUACGUUAUCAUUACAUGUAUCAUGUUUGCUUGCGAAAUUAAGUUCAAUGCAUUUCAUUAAUACCUCACAAUAAAUUUUAUUAGCUGUUUUUACGUGUGCGCAAAUAGUUAUAUCGACGAGGUAAAGAGUUCACAAUUUUAAAUAAAAAUUUUAAUUAGUUUUACAGAUAUGCAUAUUGUAUAAAAUAAAUAAAAAUUACAAUCACAAAUGAAGCUAUCUGUUUAUAAUUUAAUGAUUAUAUCUUGAUGUAUGUCUGACACGAAAUGAAAAUAGGAUUCCAUAGAGCAUGAUUGAUGAUGAUUAAUGUAAUCGAGCACGAUUUGAGUCAUAACAAUAUUUAUCAUCAAAUAUUGACAAUUAUAUUCACAAUAGCAAACGUGUUAAUUCUAUAUGAUUUCACUGGAAAAUGCAUUGUAAUUCCCCAUGAAUAUUUUUGUAGAAAAAAGAUUUAAAUUUUAUAAAGGCUAUUUUAUAAGGACAAGGCUGUUUUAUGUGCAUUUUUUCAAAAAGAAUGCAGGCGAUUCAUUUUAAAUUUUGUAUACGUAAAACAUUUUAUCUAUAAUUAGAAUUUUUUGCAAGUAAAAUUAAUGAAAAUUGUAGUAGUUGUAAAUAUUCGUGCCCGUGCGUGCAUUGCUUUACGGCUUCCAUAAAAUGUGGUCACUCUGUGAUCUGAUCUCAGUGAUUUCAGUAACAAAAAAUGAAUUGAAAUGAAAUAAUUAAUCUACAGAUGUUUUGUUAUAAUUGGAACUAGCGGAACUAAAAUAUAUUAAUUUUUGUUUAUUCUGAUGUAAAACUGUUCGGAUUUUGUAAAUGCAAUUUUCACGCAUUUUAAAAUUAUUGAAAAAAAUAGUUUAUUUUUUUAUAAUCUCUUAGUUCUAAUAAUAAUCAAAUAUUUAUAGAUUAAUCUAUAAAUAUUCAUCUAAAAAUAACUUUACUUCUAGCUCUUGAAUCGAUCAUGCUCUCUUAAAGUAUUUGUCUAUUAAACUAUAAAUAAGUAUAUAUAUCUUACGGCACAAUACGUGAUUGAGUUCAGAAUAUAUUUCAUCAAAUAUUUAUCUCUUUCAUUGGCAUGGGCUGCUUUUUUUCUGGACGAACAAAUCCAGUAACUCCAUUUAUACCACUUCGAUUCUACACUUUGAGCAUAAUUUGAAUAUCGGAAAUACAUCGGCCGUUAGUUCGACAGCUUCUAAUAAAAAAAAUGAUUAAAAUGUUGAGGGAAGUCCUAAGUAAGAAAGUUAGAUUAAAGCCAAAGUUCAAGUGAGGCCGACUGGCCCUGAAUGUUUGCCGAAGUCGAGUUCGAAUCAACUUAAGUCCGUGGGUUGCAUUUUUCAUAUAGGCAUUAAUCAACGUCGUACAAAUCGACACUAUUUUUUGGGAGGGAGGGAGGGGAGCGUAUAAUGAAAUAGCUACCAACAAUAUGUUGGGGUAUGCGGAAAAGCAGAUUUGCGAUAAGUUUGAUCAAUCAAAAAUCGCCUAUAUAUUGUGACUUAAAAAGAAAAACAAUUUUGUUGAUUUCUGAAGAUAUUAGAAUGCAUUACCGUAAAAGUAUUAUCGUAAACGCAUACGUAUGCAUGAGUGUACCAUGAAAAAUCACAUAAAAUUAUUAUUCGUAAUAACUUUAUGUGAUUGUCUGAAAACUUUAAUAAAUAUAUCAAAUUGCUGUUGGUGGAAUUGCUGACACCUAAAUAUUGCCGAGUUAACGUAGGUAUUUUUAGCUAGCGCAGUUUGUUGUCCAUGCAAUGCCGUUGCAGCUAUUGCAAUAGCAGUUAACACAAUGAAAAAUUAUUGAACCGUAGAUUUUCCAAUGUGCGUAAUAACGAGAAGCACGUUGUUCAUCCUGCGCGUAAUGAAAAAAUAGAACACACGCAAUUUUUCAAAAUAGAGCAAGAAGUACGUUUGCGUGUAUCAAGCGUGUAUGUAACGCGCAGUAUACAAUUUCGUCAAUAUUUGCUGUCAUUCGCGAGAUUAUUCAUUGCAGGCAUAUUUUUGUUGUUGGCGUAUCAAUAAAACCGUCGUAUUUUGAAUUCUCGUUCUCGAAUCUUCGCGUUUCGAUCGUUAAAAGUGUCAAGUGAUCAGAAAGUUCCUGAGAAACGGUAGAGAGCUACCGGAUAGAAAAUAUAUUCCCCAAAUUCGAAUUCCCGCGGGGAAUCGUACAAUUGCGAGUGAUUCGUUGUCACCCUCGUAUUUCCUCUCAAGCUAGGCGGAUCCCGAUGAGAAUUCGCGCAGAUCACGACCAGUCUUGCAUAAGUAGCUUCAAAUAGAGCGUCUUCGGAGACUGAGUGAACUGGAGUGAACGUUACGGUAAAGGUAAAUAUAUUUCUUUACAGUUUCCGGGACAAGGGUAGGAUCGUGUAAGCGUCAAUAUUAUUAUAAGUUGAUUAGCAAUUUAAUUUUCGUGAUAUUACAUUUCUGGGUUCUUUGUAAAAGCUAUUUUGAGUUUGACAAAAAAGCGGCGUGCGGUUUGGGGAAUCUUGUAAAGGUUUAUAAAUUCAACUAGAAAAUUAUUAAAAACUACUUUUGACUGGUAAAGCCAUUGUUCGUUAUUUGAACGUGCAUUGACCCUUUCCAAUCAUAUUAGGAUUUCGUUUGUAUUGUAAAUAUAUUUCUGUAAGAAAGAAGAAAAAAAAUACUGUAAGUGCGCGUACGUAGUAGUUCGAUUCACAUAAAAAGAUGUUUCUUGCCUGUCAUGUGCUUUACCAGCUUAAUAUCAACGACGGCCGCGUGCUUUACGUCGUUUGUAUGAAUGCAGCUAUGGCAAUUCAGCUCGAGCGUAGGCAUUUUCUUCUGACGGUGAAAAAACAGUGAGAGAAAACGUAAGAAUGGAAAGCGUCAG